rnacentral:lncRNA from 1 species
AACGAAAUCAGCAAGGGGGGAAGCCAUAGUUAGGGUUUUCAAGCUUCCAAGCUCCAUAGUAAGUGAUCCCAAGCCCCGUUUUUAAUGUUCUUUACGUUUUUGAGAUCCCGGUAGCUUAAUUUAGCUUAUUCUAGCAAUAAUUUAACCUAGGGUUUAUAUUUGGAAAAAUACCCAUAGGUGAAAAGUGUUUAUUUUGAUGUUUUAUGAUAGAAUAUGAAGCUAGAAAUUAUGUUAAACAACUUUUGCUAAGCGAUUUUAAGUGAAAACGAGUAAAACGACAUAAUCGGUAAAAAUACCUAAUGUUCAUAAGUACAUGUUAGAGUGGGAAUUUGAUGUUGCCAUAGAAGGGAAAAAUGUUCAGAAUGUUAUAAAACAUAAGAAUAAGAGAUGAAGUUUAAUUUCCGAGCCUUGGGGCAAAAAUGUAAUUAUGUAAAAGUUUAGGGGCAAAAUUGUAAUUUUGAAAAAGUUAGAGUCGAGGGCUUUUUUGAUGAAUGUGAUUAUUAAAUAAGUUAAAUUUACUAUUUUAGAUCAAGAAGUACGAAACUCGAGGUUAGACAAAGGGAAGAAUAAAGUUGAAGACUAAGUUGGUGAAUUUGGCUAUAAUUGGUUCCGAGGUAAGUUUACGGUAAAUAAAUGCAAUAUUUCAAUAUUUAUUAUUAAUGCUGUUAAUUUACAGCAAUUAUGAAUUUAUUUUAUGAAUUUAUUUGAUGAUGAUCCAAGCAUGAAAUGAUAGAGAAUUAAAAUUUAAAAGUCCCGUUGAUACAUAAGGAUGGUACUGGAUACGAAUGUCAUGACAUUUGGGUAAAGAGGUCCCAUGUAAGACCAUGUCUGGGACAUGGCAUUGGCACCGAGAUGAGAGGUCCCAUGUAAGACCAUGUCUGGGACAUGGCGUUGGCACCGAGAUGAGAGGUCCCCUAUAAGACCAUGUCUGGGACAUGGCAUGGGCACCAACACGAGAACAUCCCAUGUAAGACCAUGUCUGGGACAUGGCUUUGGCAUGUUAUUAUCAAAAGAGACCCGAGUAUCCUUAUUAUUCCAAUGUAGCUCAACGGGCUUGUAAACGAAUCAUGUUCAUGAAAGUUCAGUUUAAAGCAUAAAUGGCAAGCUCAGGUAAGUUGUAAGACUUAAGAACUUAUUAUACUAUCAAUUGAUGUUCAACGAUACAGCAAGGAUUGAGUAAGUUAUGCACACAAGUAUUCUAAGUAAACAAGUAAGAGAACUAGUAUGAGAUUAACUAAAGAGUAAACUAGAGAUAUAGACAUUGAGUUUAAUUAUUUAAGUUAAAUAUUGUUAUUUAUUUGCUAGUAAACUUACUAAGCUUUAUGCUUACUUCUUUUAUUUCUCUUUCUCUUAUAGUAUUGCAAAGCUACUUCAAGGAUCCUAAAGAAGUCGGAGAUCGUCCACACUAUCAACUACAACUGCUCGGUAUUUUAUAUCGAAACACGUUUGAGUUAUGGCAUGUAUAGGGAUUUAGUUAUUUUGUAUGUUUGUAAUGAUGAUUUUGCUAAUGAGUGAUGUGUAAGUAUUUGAUGAUGUAUGGUUAUUAAAAUGAUUAAGGAUGAAGGUGUUUGUUGUUAUGAAAGAUUAGGUGAUAAAUUAUGCAUGGAAAUCAUGAAAGGAUAAAAUUUUGCAAAGAAACAGAAUUCAG